ensembl:misc_RNA Metazoa_SRP Metazoan signal recognition particle RNA
GCCAGGUGUGGUGGCUCACACCUGUAAUCCUAGCACUUUGGGAGGUAGAGAUGGGAGGAUCGCUUGAGCCCAGGAGUUCAAGACCAGCCUGGGCAACAUAGCGAGACUCCAUCUCUU